GCCGAACAUGAACUGGCUCGUUAAAGUAUCGAGCCGAAAAAUUCAGCUCGUAUUCGGCUCAUUAAUGAACAAGCCGAAUACGAGCUUGCUCACGAGCUAGCCAACGAACAAUAAGUUAAAAGAAUUAGAUUGAAUAUAUAUAAAACAUAAAUUUAUAAAUUCUUAUCCAUUAAACUUUGAUCUAAUAGUUGAAACUUUACAUAUAAAUGAGUCUUUUGUAAUUAAGUUCGCCUUUAUAUUUUUAUUUUGCUAAAAAUUAAAUAAUAAAAAUAUAUAUUAUAUAUAUAGUUAUUUAUUUAUAUAUAUAAAUAUAAAUUAAAUAAAUGAUAUAAAUAUAAAAUAUAUGUAUUCGAGCUGUUAUCGAGCCGAACACAAGCGAGCUGACCUCAGCUCGUAUUCGGUUCGUUUAUUAAACGAGCUGAAAAAUUCAGCUCGUGUUCAGCUCGUUUACUAAACGAGUGAUUCGAUCUCGAGGUCAUUUCGAGCCAAACACGAGCUGGCUCGCGAACGGCGAGCUGAAUUACCACCCCUACUAGUAAUAUACGUGUUACUCAAAAUUUUUGAUGUGUGCCCCACUCGCCGGUAAUAGACGACUCUCAUGUCACUCUCAUUCACUGCACUCCUCGACCGAUAAAUAAAUAACAUAAAUAAGAGAAAUGCUACAUGCAGCUCAAAAUACAUUUUAAAAUAUUAUUAAAUGAUAAAUUUUGCACAUUCUGUAAUGGCGUGUUUUUUAUUUCAAAAUUUUGAAUAUAAAAUUAGACACGCCAUUAAUUUUAAAAACCUAAACCAUUCACCAACUCUGGUAUAUACAAAUCUUAUUUACAAAGUAGCGUUUGGUUCGGGAACAAAGGGGGGAGUAAGCCCUUGUUCCCCCUUUUGUUCUCAAACGCAGCGUUUGGUACCCGAGAAUAUUAGUUUUUAGAUUUCUGGAACUAGUUGGUAUAAGGCUGGAACUGUUGUUCUACCUUUUUUCCGGAACAAGGUUGUUCCCGGAUAAGAACAAGGUUAAUUAAAGUAUAAAUUUAAUUUUCAUGACAGUAAAUUAUUAAUUAAUCUAAUUAAUAUAUUUAAAUCAUUAUCUAUUGCUUAAAUAAUAAAAUAAUUAAUUAAUUAAUUAUUUAUUUAUAAUUAAUUAUUUAUAAGUAGAUAAUAAUA
rnacentral:lncRNA from 1 species